AGUGUGGGGCGGGCCUCCCCUUGCUGUCACGGUCCUCGGGCGGGCGCGCGCGUGGGCGUGUCCCCUCCAUCCACGCGCGGCGGCUUCAUCCUCGGCUGUCGUCCAGGAUGCCGAUUUCGGAAAUGGAACCGUGGAGGUGAUAAGUAUGAUGCUUCUGUAACAGAUUCGGAUAUUUUCAGCUCAGUUGACUUCUGAACUAUGGGGUUCCUCCAGAUGUUGACUGAACUUUGUCCUUGCGCAUCGCCAGGCUCAUCGGCAAAAUAAAUUUAGUGGGAGUACCACGUCCAGUCACGAGUACUAAACUCUGUUAAUGACAAAGAAGACACAGUUGUGUGUACAGCUUGUCAUUUCUCAUCAAAAUUGGGGCUCCUGAUUAUAAGCAGACUCUACAGUUCAUAAUGGAGCUACUGUACUGGCUAUUGGAAGGAGGAGAUUCCGAAGAUAGGGAGGUUGGCUUACUGCUCACUUUGCAGCUGUCGCAGGGAUUCAGAUGGAGUGGAGGACUCCGUAUUAUUCUGGAUCUCUUUGAUUCAACUGUCGGUCUUUGAAAUUUCCUGGGGUCUGUUCAAUCUAGUUGCAAAGGACAUGGAAAAAUCAAGUGCUCACGUGGUUUAAAUGUUUUGGAUGUUCCUAUUUAUAGACUAUAGUAUUUUUCUAAUUAAAAUCCUCAGUUGUCAUUCUGAAGAAGCAGUGACAUCUUACAGCACGUGGUACAGCACCACGGCCUGGACGCCGGCAUGGGCACAGUCAGACACAGCGCUUCCUUCACCACGGGAUCUCUCGUGCCGUCGCAGUCUAUACUCACUUCUCUCCUCGCCCUUCCCUCAGCCCUACCGGCCAUUGGUCUGUUCUCCAUUUCUAAAAUUUUGUCUUUUCAAGAAUGUUACAUAAAUGGAAUCGCAUAGUACGUAACCUUCUAGGAUUGGCUUUUCUCACUAGGCAUAAUUUUCUGGAGAUUCAACUUGCAUGCAUCAAUAAUUGGUUCUUUUUUCUUGUUGGGUAGUAUUCUGUGGUGUGACUGGCCCGUGGUUGGUUUAACCAUCAUCAGUUGGGACAAGAGUUUCCAGUUUUGACUAUUACAAAUAAAACUGCUCAUGGUUCUCAUAGUGUUUACCUUGGGCAGUGGAGACGGGGGAAAGCAAAAAGGAACAGAUGGAGACCAGCGUGAGUACGCAUUGCUAGAAAUGAGAGCCUUCAGAACCCUGGAGAACGAGGAGAGCCGAAACUGCUGGAGCAGGCCUCACAGAGUGUGGCAGGCUGAGUUCCGAAGGCGCUUAGAUAUGAUGACGAGGAGAACAUCAGGGCUUGGAGCUAUCUUCUGGGUUAUGAUGUUCAAUCUGUUUGUGCGUGGAAACCAAAAUGUUAUUUUCCUUCUUUUAUGGUAAGUAAGGAAUAUGAUAUUUUAUUCUUUUCUGGUAUGUUAAAUGCAUAAUCUUUAACACUAUAAUACUUUAAAAUUUUAAGUUUAUUUCAGGCUUAAAAUAGCGAAAGAACUUAAAGUCCUUUUGGAAGAACUCCAAAAUUAAAACAGCAAGAUCACGUAUAGAUAAAAAGUUGCAUAAAGAAUACAUUUGUAAGAUUAUAUAGAGGGCUGAUGGCUUUACUAAGAAACUAUUUUGAGCCACCUAAGAAAAUACAGGUAUUUCUGUGCAUUACUUUUUAAAAGUGUUCAAGACGGUAAAACAGCUAAGCGCCUUUUCAAAUAUGCAUCUAAUUUCAGGUGGUUAAAAUAGGAAGCUAUAAUAUGACCGAGGUCCCUUUAACUUGGGAACUUGGUAAAAGGAAGAGAUGUAGGAUCUCUUAGCGUUUCUUUAAAUGUAUAUAAAUCAUAGAUUCCAUCGGAGUGGUUACGAAAGGCAUUAAGAUACUCAGGAUUUUAUACGUAGCGAUGCUGAUUCCAGCAUCCCCAACCACACGGCAUUGCCCGUGUGGACGCCAAAAUGGAUUGUGUGUUGUGAAAGGGCUACGUUAGGUCAGUGACUUGAGAGUUCCGAGUCUGUAUAAUGGCCGAGCGUUGUGGAAUCAUCUUGUAAUACUGUUUAUCUAGCAGUUAAAAAAAAUAAAAGAAAAAGAAACGGUGUAAUUUUAGACAGUUUAAAAAAAUUUUUACAAAUACUGCAAAUCAUAGGUUGGUUACCACUAGACUUCCUGACUCUGGCGUGAUUGCUGUAUUCUCUGUGUAUUCUUUUAAAAUACCAGGCACUUUAUAAUUUUGUCUGUAAUUGUUUAUAUAUAUUUUCUCCACAAAAUGUUUUUAGAACAACUUAUUGCUAAACUACCCCAGCCCACUUGUCAUCUUUAAACUUUAUGCAUGAAUAUACUACAGUGUCAGUUGCAAGACACACUGGUAGACUACUUAAUUUUUUUCCAGGAAUUUUCUUAUUCAAAAUACCUUUCAAACUUAAUGCAUAAAAAUAGCAGGCCACUUCCACUCUCAGGCUCUUGAAGCUAUUUUAGAAGACUUGUUUUUCAUAUGAAGAAAGUAAGUCCCAGGAAGAUGAAAUGACUUGCUAGUAAGUGAUGAUCAGAUGCUUUUGACUCCAAAGCAAGUGCUGCCAACUUCAAGAUGCAUGUACCCAAUUCAAGAAAUUCAGUUUCCAGACCUUUGUAUCGCAACCAUAUUCUUGGGAAUCAAAUAUGAAUGAGACGUAUUCCCUGAAAACAAGAGAGUGGGCACCAGGCUCAGGCCUGGAGAGAAAAUGGUGGACAGCACGCAGGGUUUGCCCUUGUGGAGCUUGGAGCUUAGCAUCGACUGUGGAGAGACGGGUAUAAACAGGCCAUUUCAGCACAGCGUGGUGAGGGGAAGGCCAGGUACUGUGGGACCACAGGGAAGCUGUCCAUAACCAAGCCUGACAGAGGGUGGGCAAGGUCCGAGAAGGCUUCCUGGAGGAGAGGGGCAUUGGGGCCGAGCCCUGAAGGAAGAGGGCUCCAGGCAGGGAGAGCAAAAACCGAAGGCAAGGCACAGCAUGGUGCACUGGGGUCCGGGAGAAGUCUGAGAGGAGCAGAGAUGGGAAAGAGAUGAAAGUAAGCAGGGGCCCGGCUGUGGAGGGCGUUUAUCUGCCUGACAGAGAAUCGCCCUUUGUUUUACAUUCACCUGAUUCAGGUGAUUUUCGGUGAUGGCAUGGGAGGUGCACCGGAGGCCAGCACGAUUCGAUGGUGAGAAUCUAGUGAGGUGAUUUUUGCCAACAGUAGUCCAGGUGAGAGAGCACAGUUGCCUGAGCUAAGAGAGUGGCCAGAGGAAGAGAGAUGUCAGUGGCUCGAUGGACACUAAGAUGCUAGAAGUAAAAGGACUUGGCGACCUGUUGCAUACGAGGGUGAAGGAAAAGCAUGUCAGCGGCGGUUUCCAGAGAGCUUCCGCGAUCAGGUGAUUUGAGACAGGGGAAGCAGGACGAGAGGGGAGACGAGACGGUCCAGUGCGAGCCGGCCGAGCCAUCGGUUUCAGGUGCUAGCAGGACAUCCAGGGGCUUAGGAACUCACAGUCCAGUAGCAGGCAGGGAACACACUCUGUUCUUUCAUACUGGUGUAAAUUUUAUUCUCUCAGAGGUUGGACUUCUCAAAACAAUAUGUUUUCUUUCUUUCUUUUUUUUAAUUGCAUGAUAUGGUUGUGAUGGUCCUGUGAAAAGCAAGUCGUCAGAGGUGAGCUCUUCACUGUGAUUGCACAGUGUUCGUUUUGAAAAAGAUGGUGUUCAGAAGCAGGGAAAGUGAGGAGAGCGAGUGUUCCUCGUUGUCAUUAUCCCCUCAACGUGUCAAUGAAUUAAGUGUACUCAGUUUCAGUUGUGCAUAGAAAUUUAAAGAUAGGGGCAAAAAUUUCCAAGAAAAACACCGAAGAGUAUUUUUGUUUUUAGAAACUUGAUGAGUGUGGAUUACAGCAUAUGCUUGAGUAAUGAGUAUGUAAUGUUAUCUGCAUCUUAUUACCUCAGACAUCCAUUCCACAAGUACUUACUCAGCACCUACCAGAUGCUGGGUACUGCGCAGCGCUGCGCGUGGGGUGGAGGCCACCGUUCCGCGGGCAUGAUCCCUCCCCGACAGAGUUUACAGUCUAGCCGAUGGGUUAGAAAUCCCGAAGGGGGCUCUUUACGGCCCCUGACUCUUGCUUUCACUGGCCACCUCCCUUGGCGAACCCCCAAAGCCUCCUGCUCUCUGGGACCCUGCCUUUCGUGUCAGUGUUGCUUCCUUGCCUGAGCCUUGGUCUUGGAUUUUCAGCUCUGUACUGGGGCAGCUCCUGACCCGCCCUGCUUUGUCUUCUCUACCCCAGCCCUGCUUCUUAUUUGCCCGCCUCAACAUUUUGUCUUGGUUCAUGGCCUUGUUCUUGGCCCAGCUACCAAAUCAGGUCAGUGUUACUCUCAUAGCUUCUCUCAGAUUCAGUCAGUUCCACCUUUUAAAACCUCUCAAAUCUCACACUGUUCCCACUAUAAGAGAUACUUGGAGACAUAGGGUUGAGGAGUCAGGCUCUUUGUACCUAGAAAGGCCACAGUCCACAGUGCAACAGUAAGUGUGGUUCAUGGACUGUGGAAGACCACAGACUUUUAAAAUAGACUUUAUUUUUAGAGCAGUUUUAGGUCCACAGUAAAAGUGAGUGGAACAUACAGAGCUUUCCAUGUCCCCACGCCCACACAUGCACAGCCUCCCGCAGAUCAACAUCCCCCAGCAGAUGGCACAUUGCUCCAACUGCUGCACCUACAGUGCCGCGACAUCAUCGCCCAGAGUCCAUAGUUUGCAUCAGGGUUCACCCCAAGUGUUGUUCAUUCUAUGGGUUUGGACAAUUGUUUAAUGACAUUUACCCACUGUUAUAGUACCGUAAAGAAUAGUUUCACUGCUCUAAAAAUCCUCCGUGCUCUAUUCAUCCUCCUCUUCCCACUAACCCCUGGCAGCCACGGAUCUUUUGUCUCCAUAGUUUUGCCUUUUCCAAAAUGUCACAUAAUUGGAAUCAUAUAGCAUCUAGCUUUUUCAUAUCAGAUUCUUUCACAGGAAUAUGCAUUUAAGAUUCCUCCAUGUCUUUUUCAUGGCUCGAUAGCUCAUUUCUGUUUGGGGUUGAAUACUGUUCCAUUGUCUGGAUGUGCCACAGUUUAUCCAUUCACCUAAUGAAGGCCAUCUUGGUUGCUUCAGAGUUUUGGCAAUUAUAAAUAUAGCUGCUAUUAACGGGUCUUUGCAUGGAUAAAAGUUUUAAAUGCAUUUGGGCAAAAACCAAGGAGCAUGAUCACUAAGCCGUAUAGACUUUGUUCACAAUUCAAUAUAUAUAAUUACUUAUUUCUUUCUUUCUCCUCGUCAGUUGUUCAGAAAGGUGUUAGAAUCUCCCACUGUGGUUAUGGAUUUAUCACAUAAGCAUACAUAAGCUUGUAUGUGUGUGUAUACACACACACACACACGCACACACACACACACACACACACAGAGGCAUCCAUAAUCAAAUACGUCAUUCCUCUUAUUAUUUUGAACAAACUGUCAGAGCAAUUAAAAAGAAAAAAUUAUUUUACCUUCACUUACUCCUUUUCCUGUGUUUAUCUUUUAUAUAAAUCUGAGUUUCUGGACUGCAUCAUUUUUCUUACAGAACGUCUUUUAACAUUUCUUGCAAGACAGGUCUACUAUCAACAAAGUCUCAAUUUUUGUUUUUCUAAGAAAGUCUUCACUUCUCCACUUUUGAAGGAUAAUUUUUUAGGAAACAGAAGACUAGAUUGAUGAGUUUUUUCUCUCCUAAGUAUUUCACUCCACUCUCUCCUGUUUGCAUGAUUCCGAAAAGUCAGAUGUCAUUCUUACCUUUGUUCCUCUCUAAGUAAAGUGUUUUUCUUCUUCUUUUUUUUUUUUUUCCAGGACUUUAUCUUUGCUUUUCUGCAAUUUAAAUAUGACAUGCCUCCAUGUAGGGUUUUUUUCCCCACCUUGGCAUGUGUCCUGUUCUUGUUCUCAGUUUACUGGAUCUGUGGUUUGGUUAUCUAACAUUAAUUACUGCUCCAAAGGUUUUUUCUGUUCCUUGUACUUCCGGAAUGCUCAUUAUGCACACGUGCACCGUGUGUAGUUAUCCCACAGCUCUUGGAUAUCCUAUUCUGUUUUCCUCAGUCGUUUUUCAGCUGUAGAGGUUUCUACUGAGACAUCCUCAAGCUCAGAGAUUCUUUCCUCAGCCGUGUCCAGUCUACUAAUAAGCCUAUCAAAGGCAUUCUUAAUUUGUUACGGUGCUUUUUUUAUCUCUCGCAUUUCUUUUUUGAUUCUUAGAAUUUCCAUCUCUCUGCUUACAUUACCUAUUAGUUCUUGGAUGCUGUCUACUUUAGCCAUUAGAGUUCUUAUCACAUUAAUCAAAGUUGAUUUAAAUUCCUGGUCUAAGAUUUUCAACAUCUCUGUCCAUAUCUGAAUCCGGUUCCGAAGCUUUGUCUCUUCAAACUGCUUUUUGCCUUUUAGUUUUAUUUCGUUUGCCUAGUAAUUUUUUUCUUGGUAUCCAGACAUGGCGUACUGUGUAAAAGGAACUGUCGUAAAUAGGCCUUGGUAACGUGGUGAUGGGGCAUGGUGGGCGGGGAGGUGUCAGUAGCCCUGUGAUCAGGUCUCAGUCUCUUAGUGGGCCUGUGCCUCUUGCCUGAACUUCAGAAGUGCUUCUCAGUCACCCAGCCCCCGUAGGUGGGACAGGAUGCCUAGAGUGGGCUGGAGCUGCAUAUUUCCCUUCCUCUGCGUGGAAGGCUAGAGCCGGCUGGAAGUGGGUAUUUUCUCUCCGGUCAGUUAGGCUCUAAUAAAACCCCAGCAGAUUAGGCUCUGUUCAAAUAGUUUCUCCCGAGAGUAUAUCUCGUUAAGGAGAACAGAAUGCUCUGGCACUCUUCACAGUGAUUCCUUUACCCCUCCUCCUGCUGGAACCUCAGAAACGCGAGGGGAUUUUUCUCUGAUAAUCACUGUGAGAAGCUGGUUGACUCCAGGAGAGAAAACUCACAAAAGUGUGGGGAACUCCCUGUGACAGCACCUCCCGAGUUUCUGACUCUCUGAGCCUCCAGCAAUCUGUGAGUUACGUUUAGUUUCUCCUGCCCCAGCCCUGGGCCCCGGGCCCCAUGAGGUAAGUCGAUUCUCUGGAUUCACCUGUCUCUCCAGUUUGCGGGGCAGCGGUUUGUUUGCCCUGCGACCUCAUUUCUCUUACAGACCUAAGAAGAUUUGUUGAUUUUUCAGUUUGUUCAGCCUUUUACUUGUCACUAGCGUGGAGUGAUGACUUCCACACGCUCCUUACGUGUCAGACCAGAAACUGGACGUCCACAAACUUUUUUUAUCAGUCCCUUUCAAGAUAAGUAUCAAAAAUAAGAACGCAUUUAGAAACUCGUAAAGCAGUUUGACAUUGCCAUGAUAUCCAGGUACACGCCUUUGUAUUUUAUAAAAAUAUUGGUCUAUAGAAGAUUAGAAUUUAGAAACAAAACAACAAUUGGUCCUUCACUGCAGAUGGAUGGAGAAGCAUCCAUCUAGGAUGCUAGGAGGCAGUCAAGAAAAUGGUGAUUUGGGGUGGGAACAAUACCAUUUGUGCAGUUGUCCAGACAGUGCUCUGAGUUCCCGGGAAAAAGGGUCAAACGGCCUGGAGUGCGUAGGGAAGCAUGAUGAGGGGUCUUCAGACUACACCUGAGGGGGAGGGCACCGCAGCGCCUGGGAGGGCACAGACACCUCCCACCCCCUCUGCCUCACCCCAGCCAUCAGAAUGAUCUUCCCAAAAUGGAGAUCGGAUCAUGUCAUAGCCUCACGGAAAUUCUUUAGAGACACCCUCCUGCCUAACACCUCAACCUGUCAGCGCGGUCCACAGGGCCCCUCCCCACCUCACAGCGGACUCCCCCAGCUGCAUGUCCUACCGCUCCAGCUCACGCAGCCUGCUCUCAGCAGCUGGCUUUCCGAGGGUUCACCCCAGUGUGCGCGGCCACCUCCGUCCCUGUUCAUCUCCUGCCUCUUCUGUUUAGAAGGCCCUCCCUCCUCUCACCCCUUCUGGUGAAAUCCCACAUCCUUUAAUAUCCUCUUCGAGGCUUUCCUGUACUUGACGUCAAGUGCACAGGUAGGGCAGGCCUCGGUGCUCAUCAGUGUUGAGUGAGUGUGAAGCUGGGAAGUGAACUUGAAUUUAGUCACAUCUCUGAUAACUUGUGUCUUCACUGGGCAUCUCACAACUGGAAAACGGGGUGCAUUUUAGGCCAGUAGUUGGGAAGAAUUACCAGAUAACAGCGAAACCGGUAUCUGGACAGCUCAGGGUUGGGGGAGAGCGAGGUCGGGGCCCAUGGGGCAGAGGCAGAGUCCUAGGAUUUUUGUGCUUCUCAGAGAGACCUGCUAAAGCAGAGCUUGGUGGACUUCUCCGCAAAGCCAAAUGGUGAAUAUUUUAGGCUUUGUGGGCCAGACGUUGUCUGUUACAACUAUUUUGUCAUUGCAACGCAAAAGCAGCCUUAGACAAGUGGGUGUGGCUGUGUUCCAAUGACACUUUUAUAAAAGUGUUCCAAUAACAUUUUGAAAACAGGCUGCAGGCCGGAUUUAGCCCACAGGCUGCAGUUUGCCAAACACUGUUCAAAAGGUAGAGAAUGCACCCCUUCUUCUGCCCUGUCUCUAAAUAGCCUUUCAGAGGCCUUGCUAAGUUUACCUUUAGAGUUUCUAAAUCCCUGGAUUUUUUCCCUCUAACAUAGCAUAAACACUGAGUAAUCUGCCCCUACUUGCCAAUCAGUUGCAGAGGCCUGAAACCUGGAGUGAAAGAUGCAUGGCACGCACUGAACAUGGUGUAAGUGUUUGUAAAAUUAAUCCCUAACCCAGGUCUUUAUGAGAUAGACAGAUGAGAUUCUUAUAUGAAACUUCGAGGACUAAAACCUUGCCAUAAAGUGAAUUUGUGCUGUCAGCGGUGUCUGCCUGUGUUUUGGUGGGCUGUGUGAAUUUGGGAUGUGGAGAGUUAAGCUUUUCUUAAAGGAGUAGGGCCCAGGCCCUCACCAGAGAUACCAGUGUCCAUGGUCUGGUGUACUGUCUAGGGGUCACACCCAGGGCAGACUGGCAAAGGUGAUUAACACAGAGUGGUUGACAGAGUGGCAAUGCAUAAUUUAAACCAGUAGACAUUAAAGGCAAAAAGGCCUGCUUCUGUGGUCAUAUACUCUAUAAAAUGCCCAAACCGAAUAGCCAUGUAAAUUAAAAUCUAAAUGGGAUUACUAAAACCCUGACGUAACCAGCACCAGGGAAGGAGGUGAAGAAGACUUGCUAAUAAUACACGUAGCCUUUGUCACCUUCCUCUGCUCCAAAGGGCUCCAUGGAGGUCACUCUGCCACCCUAUUUCUCCAAGCCACAAAUGAGAACAUCUUUUGUCUCUCUGACUAACUGGGACCACCUAGGAGUGAGGCUAGUGCCGGGGGAGCUGUGAGGCUGGGCUUCUGACUUUGUCCUUGUCAUCUCUUGGUGCUAUUUUGAGUGUCUUCAGAUGAGCCACGAUGUCCUCUGUAAGCUGACCGGAACUAGACGUUACUUACCCAGCAGCUUUCGCCCCAGAUGCAACAGUCAGCUUGUGCUUUAUAGCUAUCCGUGAAGGGCUUUCCUUUAAAAUCUCAAACUCUUUCUCGCCCCUUUUCCUCACGUCUUACAUUUCUAAACACCAGUGCGCCCAAAAAGCUAGUGAUAUUCCUGAUGUCCCCCGUCUUUAUUUACAUGACAUCCAGAUGCCUUGUAAAUUGUACAGUUCAACAAUUUGAGUACCUACUAUGUCUUUAUGAUAUGAAAUCAAAUAAGAAUGGUGUAGGUUAUUACUUAAUCAUCACACAGAUGCAUAAGCUAGGUUUGUCUUCCUGUAGCCUCUUCUCAUGAGUGUAGUAUAUUCUUUAGAUUUUAUCAAAAGUGUAUAAAUUAGCAGUUUUAUACCUCUUUUCUCACCAUUUACCUUUGGACAUUUAGGUUUUCAUUUUGAAGGUCCAUUUUGAAUAAAUUUGUUGCCAGUUUUGAAGAGGACUAGUUUAAGUUUAUUCUAAUGUUAUAUACUUUUAUACUCGAAUUAUUUACUAUGGGUUUGUUUAUUGACCUAUUUUGUCACUUUAUGACAUAUGUAUUUUCAGUGGAGAUGUGUAGGCUAAGCUAUAUUUAUUUAUGUCACAUUAUGGUACAUUAACCACAAAACUAUCUACCACGAUAAUCUGGAAUCCUCAGGGAGUGGGCUAUUUAAGAUAGCCAAGUUUUUAAGAAUUAGCAUUAACUGUUUGUGAUAGAAACCUUCUAAAAAAAGGAUCAUACCUUUUCCUCUUACCUGGAAAACUGUAGAGUCUCGUUGAACUUUGAUCAUAACUCAUGGUCACCAGUGAGAAUUGCACUGUAUAGUUCAGCUCUCAUUAAAGGACUUGGGUGUUUUGUUUUAGUUUAGUUUUUGAUUUUUAAUUCUCAUUGGCAUUUCCUAAAACAGUUCUGUUUCUUCAGUUGCUAUCAACCAUAUCCUCACUGCACUACCUGUAGCCCUCCCUCUGCCCUUCCAACUGCUGUUAUGUGUCUGUGGCCUUGGAGACCAGGUGAGGACAUUGGCAGGCAGGCAGGCGUGAGAAAGGGCUCCCCACCGCCCAGGAACGACCUGGGAAGGGGCAGCUGUGUACCAGCCUGGGAGCAAAUCUUGUCUCCCUGAAAAUCCUUGUUCUCUCUGCGUCUUAGCCAGACUGCGUGAUCUGAGGGAGGUCUGCUUGACGACUCGCCUCAACUCGCUCUUACUUCACAGAGCUCUGCAGAUGCUCAUUCCGCCCGGGAUAGGGAGCCUGGGCCUUGUGUCUGGGAAAUGAGGCAAGUAGUUGAACAUUCCUUCACUCACACACACACACACACACACACACACACACACACACACACACACACACAAAACCAGGUUGAAAACAGACCUCGUUUUAAGUUCAUAGUUUAUGAAAUGCUGCCUAUAUUGUGAUAAUAUCCUGCAAAUUUAUCCUAGCGCUUCUUUUUUCCUUUUUUAAAUAAAUCGCUAGACAUAUAUUCUUUUGGCUUGUAAUUUAUUGAGACUAAAGCUAAAACCUUAAUUCUAAAAAUAGUAUCUCUGGCCCAAACCAUGGAGUCCUUAAUGUUUGUGAUUCUAAUUUUUUUCUUUUUUUAAUGCACAUUAUUAUGGAUGAAUUACACAUUUUUUUCUAUGGUAAGUUUUUUGUACGAUAACACAAUGAAAAAUUAUUGUUAAAGAUGCUGGCAGGUGAAUGUUAGACCAGAGCUUUGGCUAGCUUGCAUUUCCGUGGUUCUUUGGCUUCUCCAGUGUUUUCAUUGUAUUUUCCUAUUGGAUCUUUAGAACAGCCCAGUAGUUUUAUUGUCCCGCAUGUCAGAACCAGGAGACCAGCGGUGCAGAGGUAUCCAGGGACUUCCCCAGGUCACCCGUUGUUAGUGUUCUCGGGAUCGGGCUCACAUCCUCUGCUUCUAAGACCAGUGGGUCUCCCCACUAACUCCCCAGUAGUCAUUGGUAUGUAAUAGCGGAGACUUAGUUCUUGAUGUGCAGACACAUUAGUUCUCAAUUUGCAGACUGGGGCUGCUAACUCCUCUGAGAACAUGAAGUGUCAGAUCUUGCAGAGAAAGAGGAGGGGAGUUCAACUGGCAUGUGAUCCCAAAGGGAAGAAGUCUGUGGUCCUCCGCUAUCAGCGAUCCCGUUACUGCCAGAGGCAGGUGGAGGUGGCCUGUUGGGAUCAGAGGAUCAACAGAUCAGUUGGGUACCAUAAUUUGGGGACCCUCAGACCGAAUAUAGUGGCUUUAGUUAUGUUGACCUUAAACAAAGAGCCAGAUAUUUCUCCAGCAAAAUAGGAUUAUUUGGGAAAAACAAAGACUUGCAAUUUGGGACAUGCAUUCUAAUGGUGAACCACGCACAGGCCCAGUGAAACAAAGGAGAGCGAUGCUCUUUUGUGGACUUGGGAGGGGCUGUUAUAAACGAAGAGCCCAUUGGCGGGAACUGAAAGUUUGAAGUGUAGGGAUUUGUAAUGCCCGAGUAAUGGCAGCCUCCCAUUGGCUGAGCUGUUACUGGGGAAAGAGGAAUCUUUUCUCCCCCCGGCUGAGGUAGUAAUGUGGUAUCACUUCCUGUGUGUUAUAUGGAAUGUAGUAUUGCCUUCCUUGGAAAUGCAGGGUACUUCCUGUUGAGCUCAGUAGUGCGUGUUGAGUGACAUGUAUGUGAGAGUUCUCCCGACUCCAUUGCCAAUGAGGUUUCUAUUUAUUAAUUUUCACAUUUCCUCCUUCUGAUCAAGAUCUUUCUCCAAAAAAAAUGGAUGAUCGAGAGAGUUUUUUCUGGAUUCAGUGGCCUUUUGUCCCUUGAUGCCAGGAAGGUCCUCUCGUGGGUGCCAUGUCCCAUGGUAGAGGGGAGGUGCACAGACUGGAAACCUGCUGUGGUCCCGUCUGAGUAACAAGAAGGGGUGGGAGGGAGCGCUCGCAGGCAUUGCCAAUCUGAAGUCUACAGCUUGGAAUAGUGAAUCCUGCAGCUUGGAAUAGUGAAUCCUGCAAAGGCGAACUCAGAACCGAAAUAAUUAAACAAAAGCUUGGAGAAGACAAUGCAGGAAUAAAAUAUGAAGCAAUUAAACAGCCUUGCUAUCUCAGAAGAAAUUAUUUGGAACAAAACGUGUUAUCAGUAUUACAGCCUGUAGAUUGUAAAAUCAGAAGCUAUGACUUUGGAUAAAAAUCUAGUCAGUGACUAGUGUCGACGUAAGAGAGACUGAAUUUUAAACCUUCUCAUUGGCCUGGUCUGAACAGCUUGGGAAAGCUGUCUCAUCAGGUGUCAUCUGCUUCAAUUUGGGGAAUUUGGGGAAUUUGGGGAAUUUGGGGAAAUCCUCACUCUGAGGUCACCAGAUGGCGUGCAGAGCCAGUCAGGCUCAGGGCUUACUUUAGGUGUCUCGCGUGACUCCAGGAGACUCUUGCCUGCAGUGGCGGCACAGCGUUGGUUGGCAGUACCUGAUAAGGGCCUUGCCAGCGCAGUUGGGAGGAGCCCUUCUGGAGGUGCCUUUUCCAACAGACAAAAUCCCCAGCUUGCUUAAGGUCUUCAAGCCCUGAGGGCCCCAUGGAGAGGUCGCUCUGCCAGAACACGGGGAAUCUUGGUAGAAGCAGUUCGGCCUUAACAGGACUGAAGUAUAUGUCCUUUUAUCAGCUAUAGAUCAAAAGAGGUAGGGGCCGGGGCAUUGGGCACCCUGGGACUUUCUCAAGGAUGAGAGUUUGAAUUCUGAAGCGGGUGGAGCUGAGGUUUAGGAGAACCAACGGCAAUGCUCUUGGCUAAGGUAUUUGGAGAGUAUCUACAGAUUUUGUCAGUUGAAUCUUUAUAACGCCUUUAGUGUGUCUGGCUAACCCUGAGGAAUGAGGGUGGUAAAUGCAGUGAAAGUGUCAUAACUGGUCGAGAAGCACAGACUUGUCCAAGUACCUGAUGGGUCGAAUGGGUUUCCUGGUCACUGUGGAGUCAGCAAUGGCUGGCCAGGCAGGGAGAGUCUUCUCCAAAAGGACUUUAGCCACAGAGCCAGUAGCCUGUCUACGAGAGAAAGCUGCAGUCUGGUGAGAGAACAUACAGACCAGGACUAAAACAUAUUUGCCCACGGGAUGGGGGCAACUAUAUGAAAUCCAUUUGCCAAACCUCGAGUGGUCAUUAGGCCAUUAAAAUGUCCCCCCAGCGGUGCUGAUGCGUGAGGGCUUUCAUUUCGUCAGUGGACUGGUUUGAUGCAGGUGUCGUAGUUAGGGUGGAAGUUGGAGUCGUGGGUAGCACUGUGGGGUAGGGCUGUUGUUUGGCCCGAACCAGAGCUUUUUCUUUUAGCAAACCGACGACUGCUGGAUUUCCAAUCCUGUUCUUCCUUUUCUGAGGCCAAUCGUUGGGCUUCUCUCGCCAGGUGUUCUAAGUUACCAUUUGGGGAAAUAUCCCUCUGGACCGUGACAGAGGUGUGACUACUGUGGGUUCCUUCGAGGGCAGCAUUCCUCCACGAUGUGUCAGCAGGGCGAUUUCCCUUCGGUUCCAGACAGUCAAAUUUAGGAUGCUCCGGGAUCUUAAUAAUAGCUGAGCAGCAGGUAAAAGUCUGGCAUCUGAUCGUUCCCGAAUAUACGGGCCCUUUUACAUGUUGUUUCCACUGGCAUUAAGGAAGCCGCAUCGCACCCACAGCAUUCCAGAAUCAUGAGCUGCUCCAGAAGCAUAUAUGCUGUCAGUGUAAAUGUUGGCAAUUUUGCCUUUGGCCAGGGUGCACGUCUAUGUGAGUGCGUAUGAUUCUGGCUCACAGUAGCCAAAGGCAAAGGUGCCAAUUUAAUUACAUCAAAGGGGGUUUAUAUUGCAUAUUCAGCACAACAUUUGCCGUUGUCACCUUUUAAGUAAGAACCAUCAGUGAACCAUGAGAAGUCAGCAUUACACAAAGGAGUUUCCUGCACAUCAUCACGAGGGGUCAAUCAGGAGGUGAUCCAUCAGUGUUAAGAUCUGGGAGGGGCUUUGUCAGUGACGGAAGGGAGAAGAGAGGCAGGGUUAAAAUUACUACAACGUGAAAGAGUUACGUGAGGAGCAGUUAACGAAAAGAUUUCAGGGCAGGGGAGGUGGCUGACUGAACCAUGUUGAAUGUGACGAGAAUUCAGAGCCUCUCUCUACUGCAUGGGGUACAAAGAUGGUUCACGGGGACCCCACCAAUUUCCUUGGUGACUUUAACCAAAGGGCAGUGGCAGUGCUGGCUCCAAGGCAAGGGAAUUGUCCCUGUGCCACAAGAUCCCACUGCUGGCUAAAAUACCCUGUGGUUCGAUGGCGGUCCCCAUGCUUUUGGGUGAGUACCCCAAGGGCGUUCCCUUUUUAUAUACAGAAAGGAAAAAGGGAAUCUGACAAUUGGGAUACCCUAAGGCAGAGGAUUCAUUAAACUCUCCUUUAGGGCUUUAAAGGCUGUGUCAUCCUGUUCGUCCCAUAAAACUGGGUCAGGGGUUUUCAUUCUUUAGUAAAACAUAAGGUUUGGCCAUAAGGGAUCCAAUUUCAGCAAUAUCCAACUAGCCUGUGAAAACCUUGCAGAUGACGCUUACUUUAGGGUUUGGGGAAACUUAGAAUACCUGAGGCCUGUCUGGAUCUACGUGCAGCCCUGUUCUGAUAUUAGAGGCACCAAAUGUCGAGCUUGGGUUUGGGCAGACAGCAGUUUUUCCUUGGCAACCUUAUGUUCCUUAAAGGCAAAAAGCUUUAACAUAUGGACUCGGGACAAGCAAAGAAGCAAGUCAUGGACAUAUUGCAAUAAAGUAGGACCCUUAGGGAACUUCAUGUCAUCCAGAUCAGCCUUCAGGAUUUGUGAGAAGUAAGAGGGGCUCUUGGUAAACCCCGAGGCAUUGCCAUCCAGGUGAAUUGUUUUCCUCCCCAAGUGAAGACAAGGUAUUGGCUGCCUUCACCAACCUGCAUGCUAAAGAAUGCACCACACAAGUCAGUUACACUAAAGGACCUGCUUGCUGUUGGGAUGGAUGUUAGUGGCCGUUAGGAACAACAGAGUGUCAGGAUGGCAGUGUUGUUCAUUGCUCAGAGGUCCUGGAUGAACCUCUCCCCUUGGCCCUUGGGUUUUCUCACAGGUAAAAUGGAAGUGGAAUAGGGACUCGUCCAAAGGAUAAUGAGGCCCUGAGUCUUGUAAUCGUUGGGCUUUAUACCUUGAAGGGUUUCUUUGCUUAUAGGGUAUUGAUUGUGAUUGGGAAGGGGUUUCGAGGUAUCUGUUUGAAUCUUAAUAGGAGGCACACUGGAUUCUGCCAAUAUCAAUUGAAGAUUUUGCCCAUAAAGAGGAUGAAUCCCAGAUUCAUUUAUAAUGCCGUCAGACAUGGAGCAGUCAUUUGAUUCACUGAUUGACUAUUUUGAUGGCUACUUUCAAAUUCUAGAAGUAUUUCCCUCUUUUGGGAGAAACAGUUUUAGCGUGAUAUUUUUCUAAGAAGUCUCGGCCUGAUAAACGAAUGGGGCGGGGGAACUACGGAGAACAGAGUGUCUCUCAAAGGGCUCAGACAAAUAGGGCUAGUUUCAGAGAAAGGGCUUUGUCGAGGCUUCCUAGAGAGCACCACCUCGUGAACUGCUUUCGUCCUCUGAGGCCGGGGCUGCUUCACAGCCGCGGGGUUGAGCAUCACAAGUGUGGCUCUCGCGUCAACAUGGGCAGUGGUUUCUCCAAGCCAGUUUGGAGGGAGAGCGGGGAAGAGCCCCACAGCUCCUCGGAGCCCUGUCAUGAGGACGGUGUCGGAAGGCCGGAGUCACUUGAAGUGCUUAAGUUUGUGAGAAUCACUUUCCCGUGUCCUGGCUCUUUGCAAAUAAUAGCAGAAACUAGGCGGUUUGGGUUUUGUAUGGAGACCUUCAUUUGCCAGAGUCUAAAUUAAGAAUUUUAGCUUUUUUUUUCUUCAGGUGACUCACCUAGGGUAUAAGCAAGCUGAUUUGCCAAAUUGACCAAAUCUAGAAGGGAUGUGGUUUCCUGUUCCAUCCUUUUAACUAAAAGAGAAAGAUCUUCUUUCAGACCAUUCAUAAACAUAGGUUUGAAGGUACUUGAGUGGCAGCAACAUCUGAAAGAAGACCAGAAUUUUCUCUGAAAACAAUCUGAAGCCAGUUACAGUAGUCAUGAACAGGUUCAUCAGACUUUUGUGAAUGAUCCCAAAUUUUGUUCCGAUCAGCAGACUUUGGGUAAGCCCUAGGAACUGGCCAAAGAAGUUGCUUAGCAGUUGCCCAAGCCCGAUACAUAUAAGUCAGCGGGCGGGUCUCUUGGCUGGAAUCCUAGAGACCUUUCGAGAUUUUCCCAAUUGGCAGUUUUCACCCAAUGCUUAGUCAGGCCUUCACCAACAAGCAUAUAAACUAAGUAAUAUAAGCCAGAGAAAUCAAGUUGAUAAAUUCGAAUGACUGUAUUGAAUUCCUUAGCAAAUCUGUGGGGAUCCUCAGUUUUUUGGGAAAAUCUUUGCCUGUGGUGUGCGAUUUAGGUUUAGUCCAAGAAAUCUAAGAAAUUAGGGCUUUAGCCCUUUGAUCCUCAGAAGGCUUAAUUUCACAGGGAAAGAUUCUGAUAAAUUCGGAGGAGCAAGGAGUGGAGAGGGGUCCAGUGGAGGAGGAGGAUGGCCCCGGAGGCAGAGCCUGAGACAGGUCCCAGGAGAGAAGAGCAUGAGGUUUUAGGAUCUGUUUUGUCUUUUUUUUUUUGCCUCAGUUAAUCUUAAAAAUUUUCUUUUGCAAAGAGGCAAUUUCAGACUCUCGGUAAUGUGUGAAGUAGCCUCAAUCGAAAUAGGCAUUCCAUUCAGUUUUGACAAUUUCAGAGCUGUGGUUAUCCAGUUCAGUUUUAAGAAAAGUAAGUUUGGAGAGUUCAAAAGUCCCCCAUAAUGGCUAUUGGUAUUCUAAAUUACUUUUGGUCAAAUUGAUCCGUUUAGUCAGAAAUGAGCAUGGGGAAAAGCAAUUUCUAAACAAAAUCAACCGGGGUCCAUGAAGGGUGCCCUCAAAGUAUUUAGGUAGCUGGGCUCCCAUUUUCCAGCAGCUUCUUCAUUAGAGCAAAAGCCGAAACAGCCUGCAGGCCAAGUACCAGCAGAAUUUUCCUGGGAGCAGCUGGAUGUCAAAAAGUCAGCCUGAAGGCUGAACAGCAGAAGCUGUUCCAGGAGGAACAGUUUAGUUCCAGAAGGAAUCGGACCCACGGCCGAAUGGCACAGCCCCAGUGGAGCAGCCCGAUUUCCAGAGUCAGGCCGAAGUGCCAGCUGAGUACUUGUGCACAAACCAAGGCCUUAACCAGGAAAGGACAAAGCCUUGAAUUAGAUCCCGAGUAGAACCUGGGGAGCUUCAAAACACGGGUGAGCAGGAGCUGGGAUCCAGGAGAAGGACUCACCCUCAGACUCCGGUGAUGAGUGAUUAAUUUCACUUCCUGUGUCUUAUUCCAUGAGCCAUAAUGCUUUUGCCGAGAUUCCUAAUUCAGUGAAACCUGUUUAGGGGAUCAUCUCUGUUAGGAAGACAGCUGCCGAAAAGGCAUCCACUUUCCGAGCAUGGAUUUUAGAUUAUGACCAAUCAAGACGCGGAGCUGUUAAGAACACCUGUCAGAGACGUUUUUCUACAAGGAGAUGGUCUCUUUAAUCAGAUUUCAUCGCACUUCAGAAAAAGGUUCAUUUUUAAAUGGAACAAAGUUUGUCCUCCUGACACACCGUAUCUUUAACGAUGUCAAUAAAGUGAUGUCCCGGCCCUUGGGUUAAGAGACCCUGACUCUUCCAGGACUGCUGGUUGUCCAGAGGAGGCCGUGAUUCUUCUUGUGAUGCAUGAGGCUGUGCUCAUUUCCAUCAGUCACUCCACGAAGGGGCCAGAGCUGCUAAGCAGAAUGAACCUCAGGACAGAUAGCAGUUGAAAUCCAGAAGAUGCAACCUCACCAGCAGAUGAGGUGUUGAUUAUGGAGUCCUUUCCAUCUCUCAGUUGAUAUUUCGAGUUGAUACCCAGAAUAAAUUUUACUAUCUAUCGUUAAUGCA